rnacentral:tRNA from 1 species
UCCGCGAUAGCUCAAUGGUAGAGCAGGGGACUGUUAAUCCCUUGGUUCCAGGUUCGAGUCCUGGUCGCGGAG